rnacentral:lncRNA from 1 species
GCCAGUGGAACGGAGAGAACAGCAAUUGAACACAGGUUCAGGAAGCCCGGCCAGAGAAUCAGCUGAGUGUGUCCUUCCUGACUGAUGGACUGGAGUGGAAGAAGUGGCCAGAUGGUGUUAUUUAUACGUCCACCAAGGUACAGAGUCAUCUGCCUCUGGGAUCGCCCUCAAGAUGGUGUCAAAUGCUGCUUCUGAAAUGGAGUCUCCCAAAGCAAGACAGCUGAACCAGGUGGCUUCCCUAAAGCGACAAGAGCUAACUUCCAACAACUUCUCACCAGCAACUUCUCCGGCCCACCUUACAGAACCGAAAGACAAUGACGAAGCAGACUAUGUCUUACCCAGGACUGCUUCAUGAUGCAUAGCUCUUGCCCCUGUCCUUGUUCUUCCUCCAUUUAAACCUGAACACCCCAGAGGCAGACCUUCUUGUUUGCUUCUCUUUCCCACGGGGCUGCAUUAAUAAAUCUCCAUGCUUUUCUUC